UUCCCCGGCGGCGCCGAUUCGCCACGGCGAGGAGGGCGGAGGCGGCCGGGGUCGCUCGCUGUCCUCGGGGGCGGUGUCUGCACGGCCCGCGGCCCGCGGUCCUCGGGGCGUUUCCGGCCUGGGCGCCGCUUCCCAGGGCCUCGGGUGCGGUCGCUGCGGGCUUCGGGCCACUGCGCUGGCGGUGUAGACGCUUCUGCCCUUGCGAUCCAGCUCAGGCGGCCGCGUGAGGCCCUGCCAGAACUUUCCUCCCGACCCUUGUACUUGCUGUGCACUGCGUGGCUGCUCGUUGAUAACCGGCCUCGGUCUGUCACCCCCGUGCAUCCCGAAGGCGGCGGUACGUGGCGAUCUCCUGCUCCAGCCUCAUCUUCGUGUUGAGAAGCAACUCGUGCUCUUGUAGCUGCCGCUCGAUGCCGCGCCGGACGUCCUGCAGCUCCGUCUCCAGCCCCUCGAUCACCGCCUCCAGGUCCUGCAGCUGCAUCUGGUGCUGCUGCUCGCUGGCCUGCAGGGAGCUCUCGAGGCCCCUUUCCUGCGGACAGAGAGCGGCCUCAGGGAACUAGCGACACCAGAUGGGGUUCGCGCAGACUUAGCCAAGGCCUCGAACUCGCGGUGGUCCUCCUGCCUCAGCCUCCUGAGUGCCAGGAUGACAGGCGUGGCCGGGAGACCCCGUCCUCUCACCACAGCGUGCAGCGACUCGAUCUCCACUUGCAGGUGAUGCCACUGGCGCUGGGCCUCCUUGAGCUCCGCUCGUGCCGCCUUCAGAGCCUCCUUGUCUCUGUCCAUCUUUUUGCUUAUGUCUUCUUCCAGCUGCGAGAAAGCCAAGGACAGCAAAGGAAACAGAGAGCGCUCCUGAAAACGAUGCGUUUCACAGCGGCCUCAGAAAAGCUGUGGUGGAAUCAGUCAUCUCUGAACCGUUAGGCUGCAGAUGCGAGCUCCAGAGCUUUCUGCGCCUGGAGUUAGACAUGUGGGCUCUCAGCUGGAGUCUCAGCCACAGUUCCCUCUGAUGUGAAUGGUACACAUAUAAUUUUUUUUUUUGAGUCGGCAUCUCGCUUUGUAGUUCAGCCUGGCCUUGAACUCACUAUGUAGCCCAGGCGGCUUUGAACUCUGGGUGAUCCUCCUGCCUCAGCCUCCCAAGUGCUGGGGUUACAGGUGUGCGCCACUCCACCCAGCAAAAUCUUUUUAGGAUUUUUUUUUUUUUUGAUGAUUCCUCAGAUUCAACCCUGGGCCUUUGUACUGAGCUACAUCCCUAGCCCUUCUAAAAUUUUUUCAGACAGUAUCUUGUUCAGUAAUUAAGUUGUCCAGGCUGGCCUUGAAUUUAAUCCUCCUGCCUCAGCCUUCCCGAGUACUGGAAUUACAGGUGUGCACCACAAUGCUCGGCUCAGAAGGCAUCUUAAUUUUGGGUAUCUGGGGUUGUAACAAAAACAGUAUCUUAAAGAUUGUUUCUAAAUGUCCUUACAUUAAAAACAAGUGAGAUUUUUAUAUUUGACUUUAUAUGCUUUUAUGCUGAUGUUGGAAUUAAAAGAAGAUAUCUAUUGCCAGAAUUCUCAACAUUUGGCUCCAAGAACUGUAGGAAUAGUGUAUUGAAUUGAUAGUAACAUUUUGCAGCAAAAAUGACAACUUUUUAUGUUCUUAUCAAAUAUGUUUUAAAAUUAAAAAACAGCUUGAUCGUACAAAACAUUUUGUUGAAAGGAACCUGGAGCCAGUACAAGUCUAUCAGUGAAGUUUAGGACAAGAGAACAAAACUGUUCCGUUUUCGGCUUGCUGGGCCUUGUUCUCGGUGUUCACUCAGCAGAGUCACUCGGCAAACUACGCAGACAAUGUGUAGGGUUUUGGAAUCAGAGAACACACACAGGCUGGUGUCUCCUGGACUCUGGAUUUGGAAUGUGGGGCAGCAGCUGGGCUUGUGUCUGUCGUAGCCAGAUUCCCAGGAUGGCCCCUGGUGACCCACAGGUCCCCAGGUUCUUGUCCUUUUGUGGUUCCUUUUGCAUGGUUCCGGUUAUGCCCCAAACAGCAGCCAGCAUCAUGUGCAGGGCCUGGUCACCCCCAGAGUCACACGACACAAUGUGACCGACAUGUAGCCCCCUGAGCUUCAGGGUGGCUACUGUCAUCCAGCAGUCAGUAACUACAACAGCGCAUCCGAUUUAUUUUGUGAUUUAGGGGUGGGUGCUGAGGAGGGAGACUGAGGCCGGAAGCUCUUUCCUGAUAAUUAAAUCAUCAGGGUUUCUUGAAUCCAUCUCCAGUGACUUUCUAAGUUAUUUGUGGAAAAGGUUCUCUAAAGUAGUUUUAUGUUUAAAAAUGUCCUAACUCAAAAUUAUACUGUAGUCUUAUUUUUAAAAUUUGAAUUUGCUUAUUUCAGCCCUGAAUUUUGUAAGCAACACUUGAAUUUCUACUAUUGCUAAAUAGUUUACUUGGUUUAUAAUUUUCAGGAGUUGUCAUCUAUUAAUGUUUUCCCCUUCUCCUUAUAAAAGAUAAGUGAACGAUUCCAGUGCUUAAAUCAAAAGUCCCAUGACUUUGCUUAAAUCUAAAGUUCUAAUCAUUUUUUAUGAAACCUGAAUAUGUUACCCAGGGGUAGAAUUUAUAAUGUCACUAACAUGAGUUACUAAUAGAAUAAAAGCCUGUGAUUUCCUAGCA